GUUUCUGUAGCUUAGUGGUUCUCACCUUCCCCUCACAUGCGAAAGGUCCCUGGUUCGAAACCAGGCAGAAACA